GACGAACGCUGGCGGCGUGCUUAACACAUGCAAGUCGAACGGAAAGGCCCUGCUUGCAGGGUACUCGAGUGGCGAACGGGUGAGUAGAACGUGGGUGAUCUGCGCUGCACUUCGGGAUAAGCCUGGGAAACUGGGUCUAUUAUCGGAUAGGAGCCCUUCUUAGUGUGAGGGUUGGUAAGUUUUUUUGGUGUAGGAUGAGUUCGCGGCCUAUCAGCCUGUUGGUGGGGUAAUGGCCUACAAAGGCGGCGACGGGCAGGCGGCCUGAGAGGGUGGGAGGCCACACUGGGGCUGAGAGACGGGGCAGACACCUACGGGGGGCAGAAGUGGGGAGUAUUGCACAAUGGGCGCGAGACUGAUGCAGAGACGCCGCGUGUGGGAGGACGGCCCUUGGGGUGUAAACACCGUUCGCGAGGGACGAAGCGUUUUGUGGCGGUUACUAGAUAAGAAAGACCGGGUUACUACGGG
rnacentral:rRNA from 1 species